AGUCGUAACAAGGUAUCCGUAGGUGAACCUGCGGAUGGAUCAUUAUAGGUUAUUUUGAAUGUUGUGUGAACAGUGUGGUUGCAGGUUGUGGUGGGUAUAUUAUAUGAUAUAUUAUAUGGUAUGAUGUAUGUUAUAUUAUAUAUGAUAUGGUGUAUGUUAUAUGGUAUAUUAUAUGAUAUGGUAUAUGAUGUAUCCACCUUGACAACAUUGACGUACAUUAGUGCUGAAUAUCAUUAUAUUGAAAUAUAAACAACUUUCAGCAAUGGAUCUCUUGGCUCUC
rnacentral:misc_RNA from 1 species